rnacentral:tRNA from 2 species
GGGGAAUUAGCUCAGCUGGCUAGAGCGUUUGCAUGGCAUGCAAAAGGUCAUGGGUUCGACUCCCAUAUUCUCCA